rnacentral:lncRNA from 1 species
CAGAAGGUGGAUGGGAUGGUGGUGGAGCUACAUACAGAGUAUUUUUGAUGAAACAUCUUCCAGCUGUGUUUGUGGUGACAGAUCCAGAUAAACCAUCAAGUUUGAACAAAUCUGUGGUUUUUAAAAAACAUACAUUGUAAACAUUUAUUCUGGGGAGUUGGGUGAUAGUUUAUCUUACUUUCACUAUUCAAGAGCAGAAACAGAUGGGACACAGUGACAUUGGUGAUGGACAGAUGAGAAUGCAAAAUGACCCACAGGGUGGAGGAGAGGAGAACAAUAUGAGAAGGGUCUUGCAGUAUGAUAAACAUAAAUGGAAACUGCGUACAAAGUGAUAUCAGGAGACUGCAGGGCAGGAGGGACUGGCUGGAAGUGGCACUGAGUCAGGAGAAAAGGUCAGAGGGCAUCUGUUGGACAGCGUAUGGUCUGACAGGUCUGAGGAGUGAGAGGAAAUCAACAGGCCUCAGAGAAGAGAGCAAUAGUUGAACAUAGGGACAGAGAGAGAGAGAGAACAAAGCGCUCAAAGAGAGUGUGGCUGAAGUGAUAGACGGAGGACUGAGGCUGAGGACAAUGAUAUGCAGUUGAGAUGGGGAGGCACAGAAUUAUCUGUCUUUAAUUGGAACUUUAACUACACAAAAAUCAAAGUCUUUUUUUUUUUAUGAUUGAGUGAUGACAGAAUGUAUUUCUCCACAAGUGACUCCACCACAGAGACGUCAUCAUGGCCUGUACAAUCAGGGAGCCACAUGUUACCUCAACAGUGUCCUGCAGGUUCUCUUCAUGACCACUGAGAUCCAUGACAGGUUGGAUUCACAAUCACAAACAGAUCUUCAGCUGAGAAAAAUCUUUCAAGGUCUGAAAGAAACAACAUGUGGAACAGAAAACAUCACGGCAACAUUUGGGAUUAAAAAUGGACAGUAAUAUGAAGCUUUGAUGAAACUGCUAUAUUAGAUUCAGUAUAAUGUGUCAUUUUGCAGUUUAUGAACAAUGUGAUGCAGCUGAAUGUCUGAAGAUGAUUUUACAUCAGAUCAGUCCACAGGCCUCUGAGCUUCUCCGAGGACAGCUGAGAGACACAACAAAGUGCUCCAAAGGCCACAUCAUCAAUGCACAGACCAAUCCAUUCCGGACUCUCCCUCUCUCACUGAAAGAUACUCCUGAUACAACCUGCAGUGUGGAAAAGGUCAUCCAAAGGACCUUCUGGACUAAAGCAUUAAUAGGAAACAACAAGUUGCACUGCAACAAAUGUCAACAGAAAACAAAGGCAACAACUGUGAGUUUUGACCCUGAAAUGAAAACACAAACUGUAGGCAUGCGAGAUUAUAUACUGAUAGAUGCGGAGAUUGAAGGAUAG